rnacentral:rRNA from 1 species
GACGAACGCUGGCGGCGUGCUUAACACAUGCAAGUCGAACGGAAAGGCCCUGCUUUUGUGGGGUGCUCGAGUGGCGAACGGGUGAGUAACACGUGAGUAACCUGCCCUUGACUUUGGGAUAACUUCAGGAAACUGGGGCUAAUACCGGAUAGGAGCUCCUGCUGCAUGGUGGAGGUUGGAAAGUUUCGGCGGUUGGGGAUGGACUCGCGGCUUAUCAGCUUGUUGGUGGGGUAGUGGCUUACCAAGGCUUUGACGGGUAGCCAGCCUGAGAGGGUGACCGGCCACAUUGGGACUGAGAUACGGCCCAGACUCCUACGGGAGGCAGCAGUGGGGAAUAUUGCACAAUGGGCGGAAGCCUGAUGCAGCGACGCCGCGUGCGGGAUGACGGCCUUCGGGUUGUAAACCGCUUUCGCCUGUGACGAAGCGUGAGUGACGGUAAUGGGUAAAGAAGCACCGGCUAACUACGUG